rfam:Archaeon GW2011_AR4 QS99_C0016, whole genome shotgun sequence.
GAGGGGGUGCCGGAGCGGUCAAACGGGACAGGUUUAGGCCCUGUUGGCUUAGUGCCUACGCGUGUUCAAAUCACGUCCCCCUCA